GAUAGUGAACCAGUACCGUGAGGGAAAGGCGAAAAGAACCCCGGCGAGGGGAGUGAAAAAGAACCUGAAACCGUGUACGUACAAGCAGUGGGAGCACGCUUAGGCGUGUGACUGCGUACCUUUUGUAUAAUGGGUCAGCGACUUAUAUUCUGUAGCAAGGUUAACCGAAUAGGGGAGCCGAAGGGAAACCGAGUCUUAACUGGGCGUUAAGUUGCAGGGUAUAGACCCGAAACCCGGUGAUCUAGCCAUGGGCAGGUUGAAGGUUGGGUAACACUAACUGGAGGACCGAACCGACUAAUGUUGAAAAAUUAGCGGAUGACUUGUGGCUGGGGGUGAAAGGCCAAUCAAACCGGGAGAUAGCUGGUUCUCCCCGAAAGCUAUUUAGGUAGCGCCUCGUGAAUUCAUCUCCGGGGGUAGAGCACUGUUUCGGCAAGGGGGUCAUCCCGACUUACCAACCCGAUGCAAACUGCGAAUACCGGAGAAUGUUAUCACGGGAGACACACGGCGGGUGCUAACGUCCGUCGUGAAGAGGGAAACAACCCAGACCGCCAGCUAAGGUCCCAAAGUCAUGGUUAAGUGGGAAACGAUGUGGGAAGGCCCAGACAGCCAGGAUGUUGGCUUAGAAGCAGCCAUCAUUUAAAGAAAGCGUAAUAGCUCACUGGUCGAGUCGGCCUGCGCGGAAGAUGUAACGGGGCUAAACCAUGCACCGAAGCUGCGGCAGCGACCUAUGGUUGUUGGGUAGGGGAGCGUUCUGUAAGCCUGGAAGGUGUGCUGUGAGGCAUGCUGGAGGUAUCAGAAGUGCGAAUGCUGACAUAAGUAACGAUAAAGCGGGUGAAAAGCCCGCUCGCCGGAAGACCAAGGGUUCCUGUCCAACGUUAAUCGGGGCAGGGUGAGUCGACCCCUAAGGCGAGGCCGAAAGGCGUAGUCGAUGGGAAACAGGUUAAUAUUCCUGUACUUGGUGUUACUGCGAAGGGGGGACGGAGAAGGCUAUGUUGGCCGGGCGACGGUUGUCCCGGUUUAAGCGUGUAGGCUGGUUUUCCAGGCAAAUCCGGAAAAUCAAGGCUGAGGCGUGAUGACGAGGCACUACGGUGCUGAAGCAACAAAUGCCCUGCUUCCAGGAAAAGCCUCUAAGCAUCAGGUAACAUCAAAUCGUACCCCAAACCGACACAGGUGGUCAGGUAGAGAAUACCAAGGCGCUUGAGAGAACUCGGGUGAAGGAACUAGGCAAAAUGGUGCCGUAACUUCGGGAGAAGGCACGCUGAUAUGUAGGUGAAGCGACUUGCGUGGAGCUGAAAUCAGUCGAAGAUACCAGCUGGCUGCAACUGUUUAUUAAAAACACAGCACUGUGCAAACACGAAAGUGGACGUAUACGGUGUGACGCCUGCCCGGUGCCGGAAGGUUAAUUGAUGGGGUCAGCGCAAGCGAAGCUCUUGAUCGAAGCCCCGGUAAACGGCGGCCGUAACUAUAACGGUCCUAAGGUAGCGAAAUUCCUUGUCGGGUAAGUUCCGACCUGCACGAAUGGCGUAAUGAUGGCCAGGCUGUCUCCACCCGAGACUCAGUGAAAUUGAACUCGCUGUGAAGAUGCAGUGUACCCGCGGCAAGACGGAAAGACCCCGUGAACCUUUACUAUAGCUUGACACUGAACAUUGAGCCUUGAUGUGUAGGAUAGGUGGGAGGCUUUGAAGUGUGGACGCCAGUCUGCAUGGAGCCGACCUUGAAAUACCACCCUUUAAUGUUUGAUGUUCUAACGUGGACCCGUGAUCCGGGUUGCGGACAGUGUCUGGUGGGUAGUUUGACUGGGGCGGUCUCCUCCUAAAGAGUAACGGAGGAGCACGAAGGUUGGCUAAUCCUGGUCGGACAUCAGGAGGUUAGUGCAAUGGCAUAAGCCAGCUUGACUGCGAGCGUGACGGCGCGAGCAGGUGCGAAAGCAGGUCAUAGUGAUCCGGUGGUUCUGAAUGGAAGGGCCAUCGCUCAACGGAUAAAAGGUACUCCGGGGAUAACAGGCUGAUACCGCCCAAGAGUUCAUAUCGACGGCGGUGUUUGGCACCUCGAUGUCGGCUCAUCACAUCCUGGGGCUGAAGUAGGUCCCAAGGGUAUGGCUGUUCGCCAUUUAAAGUGGUACGCGAGCUGGGUUUAGAACGUCGUGAGACAGUUCGGUCCCUAUCUGCCGUGGGCGCUGGAGAACUGAGGGGGGCUGCUCCUAGUACGAGAGGACCGGAGUGGACGCAUCACUGGUGUUCGGGUUGUCAUGCCAAUGGCACUGCCCGGUAGCUAAAUGCGGAAGAGAUAAGUGCUGAAAGCAUCUAAGCACGAAACUUGCCCCGAGAUGAGUUCUCCCUGACUCCUUGAGAGUCCUGAAGGAACGUUGAAGACGACGACGUUGAUAGGCCGGGUGUGUAAGCGCAGCGAUGCGUUGAGCUAACCGGUACUAAUGAACCGUGAGGCUUAACCU
rnacentral:rRNA from 1 species